rfam:Chrysochromulina sp. CCMP291 CAF.Contig9355, whole genome shotgun sequence.
GCUAAUUUAACUUAGCUCGGUUAAAGUGCUUGUUUUGUAAUCAAGAAACGUUGGUUCAAAUCCAACAAUUAGCU